rnacentral:rRNA from 1 species
UACGUAGGUGGCUAGCGUUGUCCGGAUUUACUGGGCGUAAAGAGCGCGCAGGCGGUCGUUCAAGUCGAGUGUGAAAGCCCCCGGCUCAACUGGGGAGGGUCACUCGAUACUGAUCGACUCGAAGGCAGGAGAGGGAAGCGGAAUUCCCGGUGUAGUGGUGAAAUGCGUAGAGAUCCGGAGGAACACCAGCGGCGAAGGCGGCAUCCUGGACUGGUCCUGACACUCAGGAGCGAAAGCGUGGGGAGCGAUCCGG